AUGAUGGAAAAACCUAAAAUGAGUGAAGAGUUUCAUAUAUUAGUUUUAAGUCCCAAAUCUGAAAAGUUAAAUAAAUAUGUUAAUCAGUGUCAAGAAAUGUUGAAAAAAAGGCGUGUAAAAAUCAUAGGAAGGCAGUAUGCAAUAUGCAAAGCGUUUAGUGUGCUUGAAAAUUUAAAAAGUGUGAUAGACAUAAAUUAUUCUAUAACAUUUCAGAACUUAGAAGUAACUACUAGAAAAAAUACAAUGAAGUACUUUAACUUAAAUGAAUAUAUAUAUAUAUAUAUUUUUAAAAGUGUUAUACAAUUGUUUUUUUGUUUUUUAAAAUUUCUUUAUUUUUUAGGCUAUGGGACCAGAUAGAAGAAAAAAAAUUGAAGUUCAUAUACUAAUUUCUUUAAAGGGCUAGAAAUUUAGUUUAUAUAUAGGCAUCUAUUGUUUUUGUUGUAUUCAUUAUUUUUUCUUUUUCUUUUAAUUUUUUUUUUUUUUUUUCUUUUUUUUUUUGUUGUUACUUUUAUAACACCUUCUUAUGUUUUUUUUUUUUUAAAACUAUAAAGUUUUGUAUUAUAGAUAUUUUUUUUAUAGCAGUUAAAUUACAGUAUAAAUUAGAACUAUUUGUGUUACUACAUUUGUUUAUGUUUUUUUUUUUCUGUUAAUAAGUGUUACAUAUAAAAUUAUAUUUAUUAUUAAAAAAAUUUUUUUUUAUUUCAACAGCACAUGUCUAGAAAACAAUAUAAAUUUUAAAACAAAAAAUGCUUUUUUUUUUUUUUUUUCUUUUUCAAAAGUUAUAAAUGUGUAAUAAUAUGCUAUGUAUUAAGUCAUCGUUAUAGUAAAUUUAUUUCGGUGCACUUAUACAUAUAUAUAUAUAUAUAUAUAUAUAUAUAUAUAUAUACAUAUACGAAAGGAUAAAUGUGUGUUUAAAAAGCAUUAAUACGAGUGCAGUACUUACCGUUUCUAUUUUUUUUUAUACUCAUCUAUAUUGUCGUAUAUUUUUAUGUUGACAAAAAACAUAUAUGUAUUGGGUUUCAUGAACGUUUAGUACUCUUUAUAUCACAUUGUAUUAAUUUUUUUUAAUUAACUAAUUUAUAAAAGGAAAUAGAGUUUAUUUAUAUUAUAUAUAUUUUAUAUAUAUUUAUAUAUACAUAUGUACAUUUUUUUUUUUUUUUUACUAAUGUCUUAUAGUUAAUAUAAAUUCAUAAAACUUAAAGAAGUUUAUAUAAUAAAAAAAAAAAAAAAAAAAAAAAUUAAAAAUGU
rnacentral:lncRNA from 1 species